CCGAGCGGACAGAUCGCGGUAGCUUGCCCCAUGAUGUUAGCGGCGGACGGGUGAGUAACACGUGGGUAACCUGCCUGUAAGACUGGGAUAACUCCGGGAAACCGGGGCUAAUACCGGAUGGUUGUCUGAACCGCAUGGUUCAGACAUAAAAGGUGGCUUCGGCUACCACUUACAGAUGGACCCGCGGCGCAUUAGCUAGUUGGUGAGGUAACGGCUCACCAAGGCGACGAUGCGUAGCCGACCUGAGAGGGUGAUCGGCCACACUGGGACUGAGACACGGCCCAGACUCCUACGGGAGGCAGCAGUAGGGAAUCUUCCGCAAUGGACGAAAGUCUGACGGAGCAACGCCACGUGAGUGAUGAAGGUUUUCGGAUCGUAAAGCUCUGUUGUUAGGGAAGAACAAGUGCCGUUCAAAUAGGGCGGCACCUUGACGGUACCUAACCAGAAAGCCACGGCUAACUACGUGCCAGCAGCCGCGGUAAUACGUAGGUGGCAAGCGUUGUCCGGAAUUAUUGGACGUAAAGGGCUCGCAGGCNGUUUCUGAAGUCUGAUGUGAAAGCCCCCGGCUCACCCGGGGAGGGUCAUUGGAAACUGGGGAACUUGAGUGCAUAAGAGGAGAGUGAAAUGCCACGAAUACCGGUGAAAUGCGUAGAGAUGUGUAGGAACACCAGUGGCGAAGGCGACUCUCUGGUCUGUAACUGACGCUGAGGAGCGAAAGCGUGGGGAGCGAACAGGAUUAGAUACCCUGGUAGUCCACGUCGUAAACGAUGAGUGCUAAGUGUUAGGGGGUUUCCGCCCCUUAGUGCUGCAGCUAACGCAUUAAACACUCCGCCUGGGGAGUCCGGCCGCGAGGGUGA
rnacentral:rRNA from 1 species